CCGGUGAGAUGUCCAUCCAGUUUCCCUUGCCAGACAAUGCACCAUUGGAAGAGCAGAUCGGUCGUCUUAUUUUGCUGCUUACUGUCAAAGAUGGUGCACUGGAUGUACCUACUAACAUAGAUGCUCGCCAGUGCAUAUCAUUCUUUUCUACUUCCCUAUUCAUGAAUAUGCCCACUGCUACCAGAGUGCAAAAUAUGCUGUCGUUCAGAUGAAUGGAAAAACUUUUUGGAACAGAUGGAAUGUGCAAGUUUGGAAGCGUUGAAAGCUGAAGACAAGGAAGAAGAACUUAGAAGUUGGGCCUCUUUCCAUGGCCAAACUCUAAGCCGAACAGUUAGAGGGAUGAUGUACUAUAGAGAGGCCUUAAAAUUGCAAGCAUUCCUUGACAUGGCUCAAGAUGAAGGUUUUUAACACUGCUGUUUUAUUUCUCAGACCAAUUCUUGUCCUCAAAACUUCCUUUCUUCCUGAUUAUCUAAUGAGAAUCCAUUCCUUUUGCCCUGUGUGUUUUGGCCAGAUAUUCUUGGAGGUUAUGAUACAGAGAACCAUG